ACACCCAUCAAGCCUGGCUUGGUAUUGGGCGACGGGACCUCCCCGCGCUCCGAUUUCGCCGGCUGGACGUAUCCCGAUCUUAAGCGCUGUAAUACACCUUCGCUGAAGAGACGGGCCGGACACGCCGUUAAACUUAUCAAUCAAG
rnacentral:misc_RNA from 1 species